UAAACAGCAUCUGUCGGGACCAAAUUUUAGUGCCAAUAUUGAGAGCAUGCCGGAUUGGAGGGCUGCUGGUUUAGAGGGCUUCCACUGUAUUGAUACAGAUAUUUGUGAAACUCA